GGCGUGGCUCAGCCUGGCUAGAGUGCGCGGUUUGGGUCCGCGAGAUCGGAGGUUCAAAUCCUCUCGCCA
rnacentral:tRNA from 1 species